AACGAACGCUGGCGGCAUGCCUAACACAUGCAAGUCGAACGAUCCCUUCGGGGAUAGUGGCGCACGGGUGCGUAACGCGUGGGACCUGCCCUUAGGUUCGGAAUAACUCAGAGAAAUUUGAGCUAAUACCGGAUAAUGUCUUCGGACCAAAGAUUUAUCGCCUUUGGAUGGGCCCGCGUUGGAUUAGCUAGUUGGUGGGGUAAAGGCCUACCAAGGCGACGAUCCAUAGCUGGUCUGAGAGGAUGAUCAGCCACACUGGGACUGAGACACGGCCCAGACUCCUACGGGAGGCAGCAGUGGGGAAUAUUGGACAAUGGGCGAAAGCCUGAUCCAGCAAUGCCGCGUGAGUGAUGAAGGCCUUAGGGUUGUAAAGCUCUUUUACCCGGGAUGAUAAUGACAGUACCGGGAGAAUAAGCCCCGGCUAACUCCGUG
rnacentral:rRNA from 1 species